UCCGGCUUAACGCCGGCAGUCUCCCUAGAGUGCCCAACUCAAUGGUGGCAACUAAGGACGAGGGUUGCGCUCGUUGCGGGACUUAACCCAACACCUCACGGCACGAGCUGACGACAGCCAUGCAGCACCUGAACCGGCAGUCCCCGAAGGGAAAAUCCUGUUUCCAGGACGGUCCGCCGUUGUCUAGCCCAGGUAAGGUUCUUCGCGUUGCAUCGAAUUAAGCCGCAUGCUCCGCCGCUUGUGCGGGGACCCGUCAAUUCCUUUGAGUUUCAGUCUUGCGACCGUACUCCCCAGGCGGCGAACUUAACGCGUUAGCUUCGAUACUGCGUGCCAAAUUGCACCCAACAUCCAGUUCGCAUCGUUUAGGGCGUGGACUAC
rnacentral:misc_RNA from 1 species